GAUGAACGCUGGCGGCGUGCCUAAUACAUGCAAGUCGAGCGACCAGAGGAGGGGCUUGGUCCUCCUACGUUCGCGUCGGACGGGUGAGUAACACGUGGCUAACCUACCUAUAAGGAUGGGGUAAAUUCGGGGAACCGGAGCUAAUACCGGCUAAUAUAUUGAACAGCAAGGUUCAGUAGUGAAAGAUGGUUUUGCUGUCACUUAUAGAUGGGUUCACGCCGCAUUAGCUAGUUGGUGAGGUAACGGCUUACCAAGGCGACGAUGUGUAGCCGGUCUGAGAGGAUGAUCGGCCACACUGGAACUGAGACACGGCCCAGACUCCUACGGGAGGCAGCAGUGGGGAAUUUUGGACAAUGGGCGCAACCCUGACCCAGCAAUGCCGCGUGUAUGAUGAAGGCCUUAGGGUCGUAAAGUACUUUUGUUAGGGAAGAAAAGACAUGUAAGAAAAAAUGCUCAUACUGACGGUACCUAAACAGAAAGCAACGGCUAACUACGUG
rnacentral:rRNA from 1 species